CAGCCGCCGCGGUAAUACGUAGGGAGCAAGCGUUGUUCGGAUUUACUGGGCGUAAAGGGCGCGUAGGCGGCGCGGUAAGUCACUUGUGAAAUCUCUGAGCUUAACUCAGAACGGCCAAGUGAUACUGCUGUGCUAGAGUGCGGAAGAGGCAACCGGAAUUCUUGGUGUAGCGGUGAAAUGCGUAGAUAUCAAGAGGAACACCUGAGGCGAAGGCGGGUUGCUGGGCCGACACUGACGCUGAUGCGCGAAAGCCAGGGGAGCAAACGGGAUUAGAUACCCCGGUAGUCCCUGUCUCUUAUAA
rnacentral:rRNA from 1 species